rnacentral:lncRNA from 1 species
CGGCUGACAUGGCGGCCGGGCCGGCGUCGGCGCGGCGCCGGGGGGCGGCCGGGGGGCGCAGGUGGCCCCGCACGUGGCUCUUGAGGGCGGCCAGGUUGAAGAGCCGCUUGCCGCAGGCGCCGCAGCCGUAGACGCCCGUCUGGUGGCUCUCGCGGUGGUUCACCAGGCUGCCGGCGUGGCGGUAGGUGCGGCCGCACUGGGCGCAGCGGAAGGGCCGGGCUUCGGCCUCCGCCGCCGCCGCCRCCUCCUCCUCCUCCUCCUCCUCUUUGUGCAGCUCUUCUUCAUCCUCCUCCUCGUCGUCAUCGUCAUCAUCGUCGUGGUGCCGCUCGAAGGCGGCCGGAGCCGCCGCCGCCUCGGCCAGGUAGCGCCGCAGGUUGCGCAGGAGGCGCCCGGCCGCCGCCAUACUGGGAGGGGGGGAGGUGUCCGGUGAGGGGAGGGGGCCCAGGCGUCCGGGAGGGGCCCAGGCGUCCGGGAGGGGCCCAGGAGUCCGGGAAGGACCCAGGCGUCCGGGGGGGCCCAGGCGUCCGGGAAGGGACCCAGGAGUCCGGGAAGGGCCCAGGUGUCCGGGGAGGGAGCCAGGUGUCUGCGGAAAAGCGCCAGGCUCAGGUCAGCCCAAGGAACCCAGGUGUCCGGGGAAGGGCUCAGACAUCCGGGAAGGGCUCAGGAAUCCGGGAGGGGCCCAGGCGUCCAGGGACGGACCCAGGUGUCCAGGAAGGACCCAGGCGUCUGGGAGGGACCCAGGAAUCUGGGAGGGGCCCAGGAAUCCAGGAAGGACCCAGGUGUCCGGGAGGGGCCCAGGCGUCCGGGUGGGACCCAGGUGUCCGACUUUGGCCCCUCCCCCCCAGCAGCUCCAGGGGGCCCAGGCAUCCGGGUGCCCCCCCACGUCGUACCUGGGGGCUCCGCCGGCGUCCCACGAUGCACCAGGCUCCUCGGUUCCCGGUUGGGGGGGGGCUGGAAGGAGAAGGAUUAAAUUGAGGAAAGUGAAACCCAAAUUUCUCAUGUUCCUCCCCAAAACCGUGGGGGGUCCAACCCCCACCGAGAGAAGAACCCCCCCCAACCUACCCCAAAAGCCBCCAAUUCUCCCCCAAAACGGGGUUGUCGCACCCCCCCCCCAAGCAGGAAUCUUCUCC